GGGGCGAUUUCAUCUCCAGGGGGCGAGGCCGCGCGGCAGGGGCACGGGGGCGGGGGAGAGCGAAGGAAGCGGGGGCAAAAAGUAGGAGGGAGGGGAGGAGAAGCCCAGCUGCCGAGAAGCGAAGGCAGCAGAGGUAAGAGAGCGAAAGGUAGGGAAGAAGACAGAGCAGGUCCGCGCGUGGACAGGAGCGGGUCGCGGGCCGGGCUGGGGCGCCGCGGGGACGGCGGGGAGGGUCGCUGUCAGUCAGGCCGAGGGGGGCUCGCGGGCCGGGGGCGGCGCCGGGCACACGGCCGCGGAGGGCGCGGCGGCUCCGGCAGCCCCGGCAGUGGCGGCCGCGCCCCCGUCCCCGGCGGUGCGCCCUUGCCGCGCUCCGCGUCCCUCGGCGCCGGCUCCGGGCCCGGCCGCCCCGGGGCUCCCCCCCUCGCCUGCCCGUCCGCGCGCGCCCGUUGGGGGGCCUGGGGAGCGGCGCCAGCGGCCCGGCCGCAUUGUGACGUAGCGGGGCCGCGGCAGCGCCUCCGCCGCCCGCCCGCUCCUGCUGCGGCUGUGCCUGCUCCCGCCGCCGCCGCCGUCCGUCCGUCCGUCCGUCCGUCCGUCGGUCCGCGCUCCGGAGCCGCCGGCGCGCCGGGCGCCCCCGGUGAGUCCCGAUCCAGGGCGGGCGCCGCAGGGAGGCGGGGGGCGGCGGCGCGGGCGGCUGAGCUUUCCCAAGUUUGCACCGGGCGACCCCGGCGGGUGUCGUCCCUGCUCCCCCCGAUUCCCGGGCCCCCUUUGUGCCGCGAGUCCGGGCUGCGGGGCCAGCGGCGGCGCCUCUGCAGAAAGGGUUUCGGGGGAGGUCUCUAUAGUAACGGCGGUGGCGGCUGCCAAGCGGCUGCUUCACUCGCGGAAAGGGGGAAACAGCCCCCGCCUGGGUUUCCAAAGGAUUGUUCUUUUCAUUUGCCCAUUUCUUGUGGUUAUUAUUCAUGCUGCCACCUCGGGUCGUGUCAGAGGCAGGGAUGGGCAGUGCCGCAGCUCCCAAGAGCUGAGAUAACGAGGGGCGAAGUAAUAGUAAUAGCAACAGUACCAACAACAAUAAUACUAAACGCAAGAGGGGGACGCCUGGCGUUGCUGCCGCCCGAGAGGAGCUCCUCUCUCCUUGGCACCACGGCUCCCAGGCUGCCAGGUCCAGCCCGGGCUCCCACCGCCGCCCUCCGGCGCUGUCCUGCAUCCCGGGCUCAUGGGCGUCAGUUUUAG
rnacentral:lncRNA from 1 species